UACGGAGGGUGCAAACGUUGCUCGGAAUCAUUGGGCGUAAAGCGCACGUAGGCGGCGGCAUAAGCGGAAUGUGAAAGCCCAGGGCUCAACCCUGGAAGUGCAUCCCGAACUGUGUCGCUUGAAUCUCGGAGGGGGACAGAGAAUUCCGGUGUAGAGGUGAAAUUCGUAGAUAUCGGGAGGAAGUACCAGUGGCGAAGGCGCUGUCCUGGACGAAGAUUGACGCUGAGGUGCGAAAGCGCGGGGAGCAAACAGG
rnacentral:rRNA from 1 species